AAAAUAACCUAUAGUUGUUUGUGUUGUGACCAUUACCAAGUCCUUUUCUCCUUCAGUUAGGCGACAAUCAGGCAUUGAUUGACUCAAUAUUGCUGAGGUUUAAUCAUUCCUCUGGAGAGGAUUCCAUUCACCAGGUCCUGUCUAUGCCAUUGUUACUGGGACCUCAUGUCCUCGGUGUUCACUGCUGAGGUCCCCCAAUGGCUGCUUUCGUGAUCCAUGAAAAGUCGAAUCAAUCUGAUGUCUUCAUGCCCUCAAGUUAGGGUUACUUCACCUGGAUUUGCUUGGGAAAAUGACCUACCAUGUGUCCCCUCUACUGGAGAAUUUCUUACUAUGGUUUUAAAAAAUGAUUCUUACAUUAUGUAACAACAAUUAAAACAGUGAUUCAGUAACAUUCAGUAGUCGAACUCAGAUAGAUAAAAAGACUUGCGGUGCUUGAAUUUCA